rnacentral:rRNA from 1 species
UACGGAGGAUGCGAGCGUUAUCCGGAUUUAUUGGGUUUAAAGGGUGCGUAGGCGGACUGUCAAGUCAGCGGUAAAAUACGGGGGCUCAACCUCCGCCCGCCGUUGAAACUGACGGUCUUGAGUGGGCGAGAAGUAUGCGGAAUGCGUGGUGUAGCGGUGAAAUGCAUAGAUAUCACGCAGGACUCCGAUUGCGAAGGCAGCAUACCGGCGCCCAACUGACGCUGAAGCACGAAAGCGUGGGUAUCGAACAGG